rnacentral:rRNA from 1 species
GAUGAACGCUGGCGGCGUGCCUAAUACAUGCAAGUCGAGCGAACGGACGAGAAGCUUGCUUCUCUGAUGUUAGCGGCGGACGGGUGAGUAACACGUGGAUAACCUACCUAUAAGACUGGGAUAACUUCGGGAAACCGGAGCUAAUACCGGAUGAUAUUUUGAACCGCAUGGUUCAAAAGUGAAAGACGGUCUUGCUGUCACUUAUAGAUGGAUCCGCGCUGCAUUAGCUAGUUGGUAAGGUAACGGCCUACCAAGGCAACGAUGCAUAGCCGACCUGAGAGGGAGAUCGGCCACACUGGAACUGAGACACGGUCCAGACUCCUACGGGAGGCAGCAGUAGGGAAUCUUCCGCAAUGGGCGAAAGCCUGACGGAGCAACGCCGCGUGAGUGAUGAAGGUCUUCGGAUCGUAAAACUCUGUUAUUAGGGAAGAACAUAUGUGUAAGUAACUGUGCACAUCUUGACGGUACCUAAUCAGAAAGCCACGGCUAACUACGUG